rnacentral:rRNA from 1 species
UUCUGUGGUUAUGCCACCUUGAACAUGUCCAUUCUCGUUGAUCUUUGAAGCUAACUAGAAUGGGCCUGGCUAGUACUUGGGAGAUGUCUGAGGUCUGGGUGUUGCCAAGU